rnacentral:lncRNA from 1 species
CAACAGUCAACGACAGUGGAGAAAGUGGUCACCGUUGCCGGUUCAGCAGAUGGUCUGUCACGAUAUCAGUUAAUAUUUGUUGAAUUGCUUCUCGCAAAACAAUGCCUUGGACAAACUUCCAACUAAAUUUAGGGAUGAAUUAGUAAAUGAGACUCCAAUGCUUUCGAAGUUUAAUAUCAAUCAUUUUCAGUAAUUUUUGGAAAUCCGUGACUUCUCUAAUUCCUCCCUAAAUUUCAAGAUCACACCUGUACAGGAAG